CAUAUAAACCCACUUUUUUUGUGCAACCGAAAAAAGAUUUUCAUUGUGAAGCCAUCUAUAAACAAAUAGUUAUAAUAAGUGAUGACUUGUGCAGUUUACUAUCGGCUUACUUAACGUCAUACACUUCUUCCAUAACAUUUAUUUCACACAUCAAAUGUUUUGUAAUCCAGUCCAUAGCAGCAACAUGGCCUUUUCGUCCACCAAUUAAUAACUGACGACCAUUUAAUGAAUAGU